AAGGGGGAUCAUCAGCUUGCCUACCUGCGAGCAUGAAACACAGGCCCUGUGAAAUAAGGCGUUAGUACGAAAAAUGUACUGAGUAUGUAAGGCAUGAAAAUUAGUACAUAAAAGACAUAGAUGAAACAUGGAAUAUAGAAACACGUCUUUAAAUCUGAAUAACUUUAAAAAUUCUAAAACACUUAUAAUGUCAUGCACGUGCGUAUAAAUAUCGUGCCAUGCAUAGGUAUGAGUGUACAUUAUAUCAUCAAGCCACUGAGGGCAUCCCAUCAUAUCGUCUCGGCUACUGUGGGAAACAUCAUCAAUGUAUACCAACAUCAUAUCCAAAUCAAAGCAGAAGUUUCUCGCAACAAACACUAAAAUAAGAACAAAACCAUAUGAUUUUCUAAAGACGACUUCAAUGUUGAGCUUGAUAACAAACAUCAUGAAUAAUACUUCCGAAUGGAACAAUCAAAGGCAAGAAAACUGACCAACAAUAAACAGAACCAACACGGGAGUUACGAACGUUAACCUCGACAAAUCGCAGACCUCGCCGGAAAACUUCUACCUCGACCAAUCACCACCGAACCGACGAAGCAGCAGUAAAACUCAACAAAACUCCACGACCGGACUUGAGUCAAUUUCUAUUAAAAUCAGAAAGGAACGAA
rnacentral:lncRNA from 1 species